rnacentral:rRNA from 1 species
AAUUGAUUAAGCUAGAAAGAGCUUAUGGUGGAUGCCUAGGCAUUCAGAGUUGAAGAAGGACGCGACCGGCUGCGAAAAGCCGUGGGGAGCUGCUAAAUAAGCGUAGAUCCGCGGAUAUCCGAAUGGGGCAACCCAUCAGUGUGGAGCACUGGUAUUAUGUGGUGAAAGAAGUAGCCAUGUAAGAACAAGCAGGAGAACUGAAACAUCUUAGUACCCUGAGGAAAAGAAAUCAAAACGAGAUUCCCUUAGUAGCGGCGAGCGAAGGGGGAAGAGUCCAAACACAUUAAGUGUAAGUCUGCAGAUGUUGCUUAAUGUGGGUGUAGGAUAUAACGGCUAAAAGCUGCAGUUUUUAGGUGACUUAAAUUUUUUACCCAGUCGAAUGAGCUGGAAAGCUCAACCGUAGGAGGUAAUAGUCCUGUAGACGAAAGGUAGAAGAAGUCACGGAUAUAUCCAGAGUAUCACGAGACACGAGAAACCUUGUGAGAAUAUGGGAGGACCACCUUCCAAGACUAAAUACUCCUGAAUGACCGAUAGUGAACAAGUACCGUGAGGGAAAGGUGAAAAGAACCCCGGGAGGGGAGUGAAAUAGAAACUGAAACCAUAAGCUUACAACAAGUAGGAGGGCUAUUAAAAAGCCUGACUGCGUACUUUUUGUAUCACGGACCGGCGAGUUACUAAUCGUAGCGAAAGGUUAAGUCAUAGAGAUGAAGCCAGAGCGAAAGCGAGUCUGAUAAGGGCGGAAGUUAUGAUUAGUAGACCCGAAACCGAGUGAUCUAUCCAUGACCAGGGUGAAGCGAGUGUAAGAGCUUGUGGAGGCCCGAACCCACUUAUGUUGAAAAAUGAGGGGAUGAGUUGUGGAUAGGGGUGAAAGGCCAAUCGAACUCGGAGAUAGCUGGUUCUCCUCGAAAUAGCUUUAGGGCUAGCCUCGAUGUAAAAGUUAAACGGUUGUAGAGCACUGAUUGGACAAGGGGCCCAACAAGGUUACCAAAUCCAUUCAAACUCCGAAUGCCGUUUAGUGUUCAUCGGGAGUCAGACUAUGUGGGAUAAGCUUCAUAGUCGAAAGGGAAACAGCCCAGACCACCAGAUAAGGUCCCAAAGUAUAUGCUAAGUGGAAAAGGAAGUGAGAUCGCACAGACAACCAGGAUGUUGGCUUAGAAGCAGCCACUCAUUUAAAGAGUGCGUAAUAGCUCACUGGUUAAGCGGUUUUGCGCCGAAAAUGUAACGGGGCUCAAGCAUAUCACCGAAGCUGUGGACUUAUGAGUUGUUCAUAGAGUUUAUUGAAAAAAUCAGCAAGUUAUAUUUGGUCAAAACUAACAGAUAUAAUUUAUAAUCGAAAGUUUUGACUAAAUGAUUUUAGAUAAAGCAUAAAAUAGUAAACUGUAUGAACAACUUGUAAGUGGUAGAGGAGCAUUGUGUACGGAGCGAAGCUGUACCGUAAGGAGCAGUGGACUGUACAGAAGAGAGAAUGCCGGUAUGAGUAACGAAAAAAGGAGUGAGAAUCUCCUUCGCCGAAAGUCUAAGGAUUCCUGGGGAAGGCUCGUCCUCCCAGGGUUAGUCGGGACCUAAGCUGAGGCCGAAAGGCGUAGGUGAUGGAAAAUCUGUAAAGAUUCAGAUACCACUGUAAAUUGAUUGAGUGAAGUGGUAACGCGGCAAAGAGAGUGGAGCGUGUGACUGGAAGAGCACGUAUAAGCUAAGGAGUUAGGGUAAGGAGGUAAAUCCCUUUACCCGCUAAUAACUUUUAGUGAUGUGGAGCCAAAAGAGGUGAAGCCACUUAAUAAGCCGCCAAGAAAAACCACUAACGAGAUUUACAGUGCCCGUACCGCAAACCGACACAGGUAGACGGGAAGAGAAUUCUAAGGCGCGCGAGAGAACCCUUGUUAAGGAACUCGGCAAAAUGACCCCGUAACUUCGGGAGAAGGGGUACCCAUUAGCACUAGCUGGUGGGUCGCAGUGAAAAGAUCCAAGCGACUGUUUAUCAAAAACACAGGUCUCUGCUAAGUCGUAAGACGAAGUAUAGGGGCUGACGCCUGCCCGGUGCUGGAAGGUCAAGGAGAAGGCUUAGUGCUAGCCACGAAGGUCUGAACCUAAGCCCCAGUAAACGGCGGCCGUAACUAUAACGGUCCUAAGGUAGCGAAAUUCCUUGUCGGGUAAGUUCCGACCUGCACGAAUGGCGUAACGACUUGGAUGCUGUCUCAACAAGGGACUCGGUGAAAUUAAAUUGCCUGUGAAGAUGCAGGCUACCUGCGACAGGACGGAAAGACCCCGUGGAGCUUUACUGCAGCCUGAUAUUGGGUUUUGAUGUAGAAUGUACAGGAUAGGUGGGAGACUAAGAAGCUGGCAUGCCAAUGUCAGUGGAGUCGCUGGUGGGAUACCACCCUUUCUACAGCGGAAUUCUAACUGGAGGCCAUAAACUGGUCACAGGACAUUGUCAGGCGGGCAGUUUGACUGGGGCGGUCGCCUCCCAAACAGUAACGGAGGCGCUCAAAGGUUCCCUCAGUGCGGAUGGAAAUCGCACGAAGAGUGUAAAGGCAGAAGGGAGCUUAACUGCAAGACAGACAAGUCGAGCAGGUACGAAAGUAGGACUUAGUGAUCCGGCGGUAUAGUGUGGAAUUGCCGUCGCUCAACGGAUAAAAGUUACCCCGGGGAUAACAGGCUUAUCUCCCCCAAGAGUUCACAUCGACGGGGAGGUUUGGCACCUCGAUGUCGGCUCAUCGCAUCCUGGAGCUGAAGCAGGUUCCAAGGGUUUGGCUGUUCGCCAAUUAAAGCGGUACGCGAGCUGGGUUCAGAACGUCGUGAGACAGUUCGGUCCCUAUCCGUCGCAGGCGAAAGAUACUUGAGAAGAGCUGUCCCCAGUACGAGAGGACCGGGAUGGACACACCGAUGGUGAAUCAGUUGUUCCACCAGGAGCAUAGCUGAGCAGCUAAGUGUGGAAAAGAUAAGCGCUGAAAGCAUCUAAGCGUGAAACAGACUUCAAGAUUAGGUAUCUCACUUUGUUAAGAAGGUAAGAUCCCUUAAAGAUGAUAAGGUAGAUAGGCCAGAGGUGUAAGUGUAGUAAUACAUUAAGCUAACUGGUACUAAUAGAUCGAGGGCUUAAUCAU